UCCCCCUUACCCUCAUUCAGUUAUCCUCUCCACCCUUUAAUCUUUCGCAUUCGUAAAGGUCCUUUCAACCUCUCAAUUUCCUCCAUUUCAUCACUUCUGGUGAAAUGGAUGCUAAUUGAUGAGACUAGGUUAGGUGUUGAUUUGAGAUCAAAGUUUUAUUAUUACAGAGACACUCAUGAAAUUUGUUCACUUUGGAUGGAAUAACGAGUUUGAAUAUGCUCCAACAAGCAAGGAAAUUCAAUGAGUGAAGUUUGUAGGUGUUGGAGGAGUGGAAGAUCUUUAGCCUUAUGAGGUAAAAGCUUUUGUUAAUGCCAAUUUGUCAUGAAGAAAAAGGUUAGUUUCCUUCACUGUUUUACAGAUUAAAAUUGAUGUUCCAACAUACUAUUACCUAAAGUGUGAUGCAAUUUUUAUAUAACAUUCGAAAUAACGUAUAUUUAGUUUGAUAAAACAAGGUGACCGACACCUGUUAGUCUAAUGUUGUUAUACUUGCAUCGUUUUUCAUGUUAAAUUUGUUUUGUGAAUUGAUGAAAGAGAUAGGCUACGGAGGAGUUGAAUACUAGACAAUGACAUUGUAAGUUUAGGCAAAAUUCUACCAUGUUAAGGUUGGGGAAAGAGUAGAGAAAUACUCGGUCGCGGAUAUGGAUGAAGAGUUUGGUCAUACUAAAAAUGUAAGUUCAUGCUGUACAUGGCUGGCUACUUGAGAAGCCUGGCUUGGUUUGUUGGGGGAAGAGUAGAGGAAUACUCGGCUCAAAAAAAGUUUUGCCACAAGGUGUUACAUUUGGUCUUUGGUUGGGAGAAAAGUAGAGGAAUACUCGGCUGCAAAUAUGGACGGCGUUCGCGAUGAUUGGCCGACUUAUGCAGCUACCUCUAUUGUUAAGUGAAACCAUAUUUUAGGUGUUGACGAAUGUAUUGACAAACAAUCUUUUUGUUAACGUUAACAUAUCUGUAAUAUACUUGCAUAUGAUUAUGUAAUGGGUUGUUUUGGUAUAUAUAUGUGUAUUUGUUUUAUGAAA